AAAUUUGUCGAGUUAAGUUGAGAUCGUUGGAAAUUAAUUUACGAUCUCGGUAAUGAUUAAAGUGCUUGAGAAUAUUUUUGGAAAUUUUCACAAUGUGAAAUCCUUAAUUUAAGGAUUGGAUAAUAAAGUACACAUCACGACGAGUUCGUGGGAAUUUUCGGGGAAUUUUUCGGUUACCCGAGCUAUUUAUAUCAAUUUUCCAAAGUUGUGGGAUUUUAGAAAAAUGAUUUAAAGAAAUAGGAUUUUCUGCGGUGCAAUCGUGGCCGUCCAAAGCUUCCACCGCUUCAUCACAGCCCUUAAAAUCAAUUAAAUUUGAGGUAUAAAUACCCCAAGAUCAGAUUAAGGCUCUAGAUUGCUCUAGAGCAACCAGCAAGCUCGAGCUCUCUCGGCCCGAGAGAGAAACCCGACAACCUGCAAGGCAGCUCGGCGACAACUCCGGCGUCAGGCCACCGAUCAAUGACGCAAGGCCACCAAUUUCUUCCUCUCAUCGUCUCCGUCACGCCUGUCGCUUCAGAUCAUCCAUGCGCUCGACGAGGAAGAAGAACCGACGUGAGAAAGUCCGACGGCUCCGGCGAGCUUCUGCAAAUUCCGGCCAUCGAUUGGGCUGUAUGGGCUCGAGUGCUUCCGUAGACGAGGGUUGACCACGAUCGAAACUGGAAUUCAGAAACUUGUUGGGUUAUGAGCAUCGGAACCUCAGUUCAUCAUCAGUAGAGUUUCGAAGGGAAUUUCGUUAACUCACAAUCCAAGCUGGAGGUUAACUUUGCAAACCAAACUUAUUGAAGGUAAAAUUCAAGUCCUGCUCUUUUGGUACUCUUGACAGAUUGGGUGAACUGUGGUGCUGUGGUUGAAAUCGAAGUCUCCUUGAACGGUUUGAGCAUAGUUUCAAUGUUAUAAAUUCUGGUGGUUGUGAUAAUGCUCACUGUGAAUCGAAAUGUUGUUAGUUUUAGUGCGUGCCAGUUAUCUGUGUUGUAAGAACUUGUAAUUUGGUUUGGUCGUGAUUGUUAGUUGGCCAGAUGAAAGGGAAGGAAAAGUUUAAUAUAUUGGUUAUACAUUGAUUGGGUGCCCUUAGUAUUUUGGGCACACCCUAAUCGAGAAUGGAAUAAGGUUAGGUAUCCAUAGUAGUUCGAACGAAUUACUAUGCUACGAAUAGAAUGAGAAAGGGUAUGUUAAAAGCA